rnacentral:rRNA from 1 species
GAUGAACGCUGGCGGCGUGCCUAAUACAUGCAAGUCGAGCGAACAGACGAGGAGCUUGCUCCUCUGACGUUAGCGGCGGACGGGUGAGUAACACGUGGAUAACCUACCUAUAAGACUAGGAUAACUUCGGGAAACCGGAGCUAAUACCGGAUAAUAUAUUGAACCGCAUGGUUCAAUAGUGAAAGACGGUUUUGCUGUCACUUAUAGAUGGAUCCGCGUCGCAUUAGCUAGUUGGUAAGGUAACGGCUUACCAAGGCAACGAUGCGUAGCCGACCUGAGAGGGUGAUCGGCCACACUGGAACUGAGACACGGUCCAGACUCCUACGGGAGGCAGCAGUAGGGAAUCUUCCGCAAUGGGCGAAAGCCUGACGGAGCAACGCCGCGUGAGUGAUGAAGGUCUUCGGAUCGUAAAACUCUGUUAUUAGGGAAGAACAAAUGUGUAAGUAACUAUGCACGUCUUGACGGUACCUAAUCAGAAAGCCACGGCUAACUACGUG